rnacentral:rRNA from 1 species
ACGUAAGGCCCUUCGGGGUACACGAGCGGCGAACGGGUGAGUAACACGUGGUUGAUCUGCCUCGCACUUCGGGAUAAGCCUGGGAAACUGGGUCUAAUACCGGAUAUGACCUUUCAGUGCAUGCUGUUGGGUGGAAAGAUUUAUCGGUGCGAGAUGGGCCCGCGGCCUAUCAGCUUGUUGGCGGGGUAACGGCCCACCAAGGCGACGACGGGUAGCCGACCUGAGAGGGUGACCGGCCACACUGGGACUGAGACACGGCCCAGACUCCUACGGGAGGCAGCAGUGGGGAAUAUUGCACAAUGGGCGGAAGCCUGAUGCAGCGACGCCGCGUGAGGGAUGACGGCCUUCGGGUUGUAAACCUCUUUCGACAGGGACGAAGCGCAAGUGACGGUACCUGUAGAAGAAGCACCGGCCAACUACGUGCCAGCAGCCGCGGUAAUACGUAGGGUGCGAGCGUUGUCCGGAAUUACUGGGCGUAAAGAGCUUGUAGGCGGUUUGUCGCGUCGUCCGUGAAAACUUGGGGCUCAACCCCAAGCUUGC